UACGUAGGUGGCAAGCGUUAUCCGGAUUUACUGGGUGUAAAGGGCGUGUAGGCGGGAAAGCAAGUCAGAUGUGAAAACCAUGGGCUCAACCUGUGGCCUGCAUUUGAAACUGUUUUCCUUGAGUACUGGAGAGGCAGACGGAAUUCCUAGUGUAGCGGUGAAAUGCGUAGAUAUUAGGAGGAACACCAGUGGCGAAGGCGGUCUGCUGGACAGCAACUGACGCUGAGGCGCGAAAGCGUGGGGAGCAAACAGG
rnacentral:rRNA from 1 species